AAAAGGGCACGGGGCAGAGGGACUAUGUUGUGAGCCUGCGAAAGAAGUUUGUGUGGGGACUGUGGGCAGUGAACGCGUUGGGAACAAUAUGGAAAACUGGGAGCCGCCUUGGAAUCUACAGGGCCGGGACCCACUCGAGCCAUCCACACUUGCCCCAGCCUCCUCCAAAACAGCACACUUUCCGGCUGAAGAAAAGAAGAAUGGUAUUCACGCAGUUCCCAUUUUACAGAUGAAAACAAGAGGACUUUUUCUGUGAAGUCAAGAAAGUGGUUACAAUGGUACUUUCAGCCUGUCCGAAUUAUGUAUUGCCCCUCCCCUUUUUAUUAAUAACAUUGAAGUGUGAUGGGACAACCACUGAAGCCGUCAGUUGAAACCUGCUGGGACUUUUUAGCCAUUCUCUUCAACAUAAAGAAUGGGUGUUUUUGGAGGGGGUGAGAGGAAUGGGGAAAUGUUGUCAAAGAGUACAACGUUUUAGUUGAGACAGGAAGAAUAUAUUUUGUUGAGAUCUACAGCACAGCAUGGUGACUGUAGUUAACAAUGAAGUAUUGUCUAUUUCCAAAUUGCUAAGACAAUAAAUUUCAAAUGUUCUCACCACAA
rnacentral:lncRNA from 1 species